UGUUCAUUUCCCACACUCUCUCGCCUAUCUGACCGGUGAGAGAGUGUGGGAAAUGAAGAAA
rnacentral:pre_miRNA from 1 species